rnacentral:rRNA from 1 species
CGGCACGCUUAACGCAUGCAAGUCGAACGGAGAUAUUUGGUUACUGAGAUAUCUUAGUGGCGGACGGGUGAGUAACACGUGAGCAACCUGCCUUGGAGAGAGGGAUAGCUUCUGGAAACGGAUGGUAAUACCUCAUAACGCAACUUUACCGCAUGAUAGAGUUGCCAAAGAUUUAUCACUCUGAGAUGGGCUCGCGUCUGAUUAGAUAGUUGGUGAGGUAACGGCUCACCCAAGUCGACGAUCAGUAGCCGGACUGAGAGGUUGAACGGCCACAUUGGGACUGAGACACGGCCCAGACUCCUACGGGAGGCAGCAGUGGGGAAUAUUGCACAAUGGGGGAAACCCUGAUGCAGCGAUGCCGCGUGGAGGAAGAAGGUUUUCGGAUUGUAAACUCCUGUCUUAAAGGACGAUAAUGACGGUACUUUAGGAGGAAGCUCCGGCUAACUACGUGCCAGCCGCUGC